GAUGAACGCUAGCGGGAGGCCUAACACAUGCAAGCCGAGCGGUAUUUGUUCUUCGGAACAGAGAGAGCGGCGCACGGGUGCGGAACACGUGUGCAACCUGCCUUUAUCUGGGGGAUAGCCUUUCGAAAGGAAGAUUAAUACCCCAUAAUAUAUUGAGUGGCAUCAUUUGAUAUUGAAAACUCCGGUGGAUAGAGAUGGGCACGCGCAAGAUUAGAUAGUUGGUGAGGUAACGGCUCACCAAGUCAAUGAUCUUUAGGGGGCCUGAGAGGGUGAUCCCCCACACUGGUACUGCGACACGGACCAGACUCCUACGGGAGGCAGCAGUGAGGAAGAUUGGACAAUGGGUUAGCGCCUGAUCCAGCCAUCCCGCGUGAAGGACGACGGCCCUAUGGGUUGUAAACUUCUUUUGUAUAGGGAUAAACCUACUCUCGGGAGAGUAGCUGAAGGUACUAUACGAAUAAGCACCGGCUAACUCCGUG
rnacentral:rRNA from 1 species